AGCAGCCGCGGUAAUUCCAGCUCCAAUAGCGUAUAUUAAAGUUGUUGCAGUUAAAAAGCUCGUAGUUGAAUUUCGGGAUCAAUAUAUUGGUCGUGCCUUCGGUAUGCACUGGUAUUAUUGAUUUCUACCUUCUGACGAACUAUGAUGUCAUUAAUUUGGUGUCAUGGGGAAUCAGGACUGUUACUUUGAAAAAUUAGAGUGUUUAAAGCAGGCACACGCUUGAAUACAUUAGCAUGGAAUAAUGAAAUAGGACGUUUGACCCUAUUUUGUUGGUUUCUAGGAUCGACGUAAUGAUUAAUAGGGAUAGUUGGGGGCAUUAGUAUUCAAUUGUCAGAGGUGAAAUUCUUGGAUUUAUUGAAGACUAACUACUGCGAAAGCAUUUGCCAAGGAUGUUUUCAUUAAUCAAGAACGAAAGUUAGGGGAUCGAAGACGAUCAGAUACCGUCGUAGUCUUAACCAUAAACUAUGCCGACUAGGGAUCGGAUGAUGUUAAUUUUAAUGACUCAUUC
rnacentral:rRNA from 1 species